CAGCAGCCGCGGUAAUACAGAGGGUGCGAGCGUUAAUCGGAUUUACUGGGCGUAAAGCGUGCGUAGGCGGCUUCUUAAGUCGGAUGUGAAAUCCCUGAGCUUAACUUAGGAAUUGCAUUCGAUACUGGGAAGCUAGAGUAUGGGAGAGGAUGGUAGAAUUCCAGGUGUAGCGGUGAAAUGCGUAGAGAUCUGGAGGAAUACCGAUGGCGAAGGCAGCCAUUUGGCCUAAUACUGACGCUGAGGUACGAAAGCAUGGGGAGCAAACAGGAUUAGAUACCCGCGUAGUCCCUGUCUCUUAUAU
rnacentral:rRNA from 1 species